rnacentral:rRNA from 1 species
UCAAGCGAAUAAGAGCAUAAGGUGGAUGCCUAGGCACUAGGAGCCGACGAAGGACGUGGUAAGCUGCGAAAAGCUGCGGUUAGGCGCAAACAGCCGUUGACCCGCAGAUGUCCGAAUGAGGGAACUCACCUGGGGUAAUGCCCAGGUACCCCGUGAUGAAUCAAAUAGUCACGGAGGAGGCAACCCGGGGAACUGAAACAUCUAAGUACCCGGAGGAAAAGAAAGAAACCUCGAUUUCCUAAGUAGCGGCGAGCGAACGGGAAAGAGCCCAAACCACGGCGUAAGCUGUGGGGUUGUGGGCCAUCCGCAAGCUGCUUGCGGCAUAGACGAAUCCGCCUGGAAAGGCGAGCCAAAGGAGGUAACAGCCCUGUAGUCGAAAUGCUGAGAGCAGUGGGAUGGUACCAGAGUACCAUCGGGCACGUGAAACCCGGUGGGAAGCAGGGGGGCCCACCCCCCAAGGCUAAAUACUCCCUAGUGACCGAUAGCGAAUAGUACCGUGAGGGAAAGGUGAAAAGAACCCCGGGAGGGGAGUGAAAUAGAACCUGAAACCUUAUGCUUACAAGCAAAGGGAGCGCAAGUGACCUUGUACUUUUUGUAGAACGGGCCAACGAGUUAUGGUAUGCAGCGAGGUUAAGGUGUUCAGCACCGGAGCCGAAGCGAAAGCGAGUCUUAAACGGGCGUUUAGUUGCAUGCUGUAGACCCGAAACCGGGUGAUCUAUCCAUGUGCAGGUUGAAGUAUCCGUAAAAGGAUAUGGAGGACCGAACCCAUGUCUGUGAAAAAGGCUGGGAUGACGUGUGGAUAGGGGUGAAAAGCCAAUCGAACCCGGAGAUAGCUGGUUCUCCCCGAAAUAGCUUUAGGGCUAGCCUCGGGUAAGAGAUAUGCGGAGGUAGAGCACUGAAUGUUCUAGGGGCCUUCACCGGUUACCGAAAACUAUCAAACUCCGAAUGCCGUACUAUCGCUGCCCGGGAGUCAGACUAUGUGGGAUAAGCUUCAUAGUCGAGAGGGAAACAACCCAGACCAACAGCUAAGGUCCCGAAGUGUAAGUUAAGUGGAAAAGGAUGUGGAGUUGCGAAGACAGCUAGGAUGUUGGCUUAGAAGCAGCCACCCAUUUAAAGAGUGCGUAAUAGCUCACUAGUCGAGUGACUCUGCGCCGAAGAUAAACGGGGCUAAAACUUACCACCGAAGCUUUGGAAUGGUUCGCAAGAAUCAUUGGUAGGGGAGCAUCGUGUACGGGCUGAAGCUUAACUGAAAGGUUAGGUGGACUGUACAGGAGAGAGAAUGUUGGCAUGAGUAGCGAGAGCAAGGUGAGAAUCCUUGCCGCCGAAAAUCUAAGGUUUCCUGAGGAAGGUUCGUCCGCUCAGGGUAAGUCGGGACCUAAGCCGAGGGCGAGAGCCGUAGGCGAUGGACAACUGGUUGAGAUUCCAGUACCACCGAAAGUCGUUUGAGCGAAGUGGGGACGCAGGAGGAUAGGCUGAGCGCGCGGUUGGUAGAGCGCGUCGAAGCGUCGAGGGAGAGCUGGUAGGCAAAUCCGCCGGCUUGCUAAUCCUGAGGCGUGAUCGGGAGGGAAAAUAAAGUACCGAAGCAGCUGAUUUCACACUGCCAAGAAAAUCCGCUAGCGAGACUGUAGGUGCCCGUACCGCAAACCGACACAGGUAGAUGAGGAGAGAAUCCUAAGGCGAUCGAGAGAACUAUUGUUAAGGAACUCGGCAAAAUGACCCCGUAACUUCGGGAGAAGGGGUGCCUGCGCAAGCAGGCCGCAGCGAAAUGGCCCAGGCGACUGUUUACCACAAACACAGGUCUCUGCUAAAGCGAAAGCUGAAGUAUAGGGGCUGACGCCUGCCCGGUGCUGGAAGGUUAAGGGGACGUGUUAGCGCAAGCGAAGCACUGAACUUAAGCCCCAGUAAACGGCGGCCGUAACUAUAACGGUCCUAAGGUAGCGAAAUUCCUUGUCGGGUAAGUUCCGACC